rnacentral:misc_RNA from 1 species
UCCGCUUUAUCAGCGGCGGUUCCCCUAAAGUGCCCAACUGAAUGAUGGCAAUUAAGGGCGAGGGUUGCGCUCGUUGCGGGACUUAACCCAACAUCUCACGACACGAGCUGACGACAGCCAUGCAACACCUGUCUCCGGUCCAACUAAAUGCCCCUCCCUUUUCGGGGAAGGUCUACCGGGAUCCAAGGCUAGGUAAGGUUCUUCGCGUAUCUUCGAAUUAAUGGACAUGCUCCACCACUUGUGCGGGUCCCCGUCAAUUCCUUUGAGUUUUAACCUUGCGGCCGUAAUCCCCAGGCGGCAUGCUUACCGCGUUAGCUAAGCCACCGAGUUCUGUAGCGAACCCGACGGCGAGCAUGCAUCGUUUACGGCGUGGACUAC